UGGGGAAUAUUGGGCAAUGGGCGAAAGCCUGACCCAGCAACGCCGCGUGAAGGAAGAAGGCCUUCGGGUUGUAAACUUCUUUUACCAGGGACGAAGGACGUGACGGUACCUGGAGAAAAAAGCAACGGCUAACUACGUGCCAGCAGCCGCGGUAAUACGUAGGUUGCAAGCGUUGUCCGGAUUUACUGGGUGUAAAGGGCGUGUAGGCGGAGAUGUAAGUUGGGAGUGAAAUCCAUGGGCUCAACCCAUGAACUGCUUUCAAAACUGUAUCCCUUGAGUAUCGGAGAGGCAAGCGGAAUUCCUAGUGUAGCGGUAAAAUGCGUAGAUAUUAGGAGGAACACCAGUGGCGAAGGCGGCUUGCUGGACGACAACUGACGCUGAGGCGCGAAAGCGUGGGGAGCAAACAGGAUUAGAUACCCUGGUAGU
rnacentral:rRNA from 1 species